rnacentral:rRNA from 1 species
AGAGUUUGAUCAUGGCUCAGGACGAACGCUGGCGGCACGCUUAACACAUGCAAGUCGAACGAGAGAAGAGGAGCUUGCUUUUCUGAUCUAGUGGCGGACGGGUGAGUAGCACGUGAGCAAUCUGCCUUUCAGAGGGGGAUACCGAUUGGAAACGAUCGUUAAUACCGCAUAACAUAAUUGAACCGCAUGAUUUGAUUAUCAAAGAUUUAUCGCUGAAAGAUGAGCUCGCGUCUGAUUAGCUAGUUGGUAAGGUAACGGCUUACCAAGGCGACGAUCAGUAGCCGGACUGAGAGGUUGAUCGGCCACAUUGGGACUGAGACACGGCCCAGACUCCUACGGGAGGCAGCAGUGGGGAAUAUUGCACAAUGGAGGAAACUCUGAUGCAGCGAUGCCGCGUGAGGGAAGAAGGUUUUAGGAUUGUAAACCUCUGUCUUCAGGGACGAAAAAAGACGGUACCUGAGGAGGAAGCUCCGGCUAACUACGUGCCAGCAGCCGCGGUAAUACGUAGGGAGCGAGCGUUGUCCGGAAUUACUGGGUGUAAAGGGAGCGUAGGCGGGAUCGCAAGUCAGAUGUGAAAACUAUGGGCUUAACCCAUAAACUGCAUUUGAAACUGUGGUUCUUGAGUGAAGUAGAGGUAAGCGGAAUUCCUAGUGUAGCGGUGAAAUGCGUAGAUAUUAGGAGGAACAUCAGUGGCGAAGGCGGCUUACUGGGCUUUAACUGACGCUGAGGCUCGAAAGCGUGGGGAGCAAACAGGAUUAGAUACCCUGGUAGUCCACGCCGUAAACGAUGAUUACUAGGUGUGGGGGGACUGACCCCUUCCGUGCCGCAGCAAACGCAAUAAGUAAUCCACCUGGGAAGUACGACCGCAAGGUUGAAACUCAAAGGAAUUGACGGGGGCCCGCACAAGCAGUGGAGUAUGUGGAUUAAUUCGAAGCAACGCGAAGAACCUUACCAGGUCUUGACAUCGUAUGCAUAGCUCAGAGAUGAGUGAAAUCUCUUCGGAGACAUAUAGACAGGUGGUGCAUGGUUGUCGUCAGCUCGUGUCGUGAGAUGUUGGGUUAAGUCCCGCAACGAGCGCAACCCUUACUGUUAGUUGCUACGCAAGAGCACUCUAGCAGGACUGCCGUUGACAAAACGGAGGAAGGUGGGGAUGACGUCAAAUCAUCAUGCCCCUUAUGACCUGGGCCUCACACGUACUACAAUGGCUGUCAACAGAGGGAAGCAAAGCCGCGAGGUGGAGCGAACCCCUAAAAGCAGUCUUAGUUCGGAUUGUAGGCUGCAACCCGCCUACAUGAAGUCGGAAUUGCUAGUAAUCGCAGAUCAGCAUGCUGCGGUGAAUACGUUCCCGGGCCUUGUACACACCGCCCGUCACGCCAUGGGAGUCGGUAACACCCGAAGCCUGUAGUCUAACCGCAAGGAGGACGCAGUCGAAGGUGGGAUUGAUGACUGGGGUGAAGUCGUAACAAGGUA